rnacentral:lncRNA from 1 species
UCUGUGUGUCUUGCCAGCCCAGAAGCCUCUAAGCCUCCUAAUCUCCCCCUGAGCCCUCAGCGUUCAUGAAGCGUAUUCUCCUGGUUUUGACUGUUAGCCUGCUCCUGGCCCAGGUUACCCAAGGUAAAUAGGAUCUCUCCCAAGCGGGAGUGGGUCAUGUUCAGGGAAUUCUGGGGGCUCUAACAGCCUGGAAUAGGAGAAUGGCAGCCUCCUUGGAGGCCUCUGGACGAUCUCUGUAGCCAGGGGAAAAUUUGAGUUCUCUUGUACCAGCUGAUCUUUUCAGUGCUAUUACUUGACUACUCUGAUUUUCUCUGGUGUGCUUUGGAGAAGUGGAACAUGAUGAUCUGGGCGGAGGGUACACGGAGGAGAGAGAUGCGGGUGCGGAAUAUGGAGGAAAUGGGCACUUUCCUAAGAACAUCGGGGGGGAUUUGAAUUUCGAGCUAUUGUUGCCUCCAUGAAAACGGUUCCUGAAUUUCUGAUUGAGGAUUCUGAUACCGUUCUCAGGCAAUUUUAAUUUAUCUGGGCCACUCUAGGCUGUGCGUCCCCCAGAGCAGCUAAUUAUCUAGGCUGGUUAAGACGCACAAAAAGGCCCGGGAUGUUGUGGAGGAGGGAGUGUUACAUUCUUGGGAGUUUUGCAGAUGCCCUAGAAAACUUGCAGAUGUCCAGAUGGGUGUAUUUCAGACUCCUGUCCGGUUUCAUUGAUAGGGUCAGAGAGGGGACUGAGGGCAAAGGGAAAAAGUAACUGAUAUUGGGUACCUGGUUACAUUGUAUUAUGAAGGAGACAAAACCUAGUGGGGGGGGGGAAGGCUCCUGCCUCCCCCAAAGGAGCUGGCCAGGGAGGGGAAGCUGCCUCCUGGGGAGGACUUCGGGGUUGUGACUGACGACACAAAUGGGAGAAGAAAGGAAAAUGGCCAAUACUCCUCCCCGCACAUCUCCUUAUUUCCUUACUACUGUCUUCUCUGCUGGGGUGCCUUCCCCCUUCCCCAGCCCUCUGCUUUAUUUCAGGACUGACCCUGUCCUCUCCUUCCUUUUUAAUUUCAGCCAGGCACUGCUGGAAAAAGUUGGGAAGGUGCAGAACAACGUGUAAAGAUAGUGAAGUAUUCUACCUCUUAUGCAAUGAUGAGACUAAGUGUUGUGUCAACCCCAAGCAUGUACCUGUCAAAACUAGAUCCUUGCCGCCAACCGGAAGCCUGGAGUAACUUCUGCAGUCUGGCCCAUCUCGCCCGACUUUGAGCCCAACGUCAUCGGAGCCCACGGCUCUACUAAAUCAUUCUCGACUGUCCCAUUUGUGUCUGGUAGCUCCGCCUCAUUGAACUUACAAAUCAAGAACAAAGAGAGGUGUGCGUGCAGGUGAGACAGAACAGGGAAGACCAGUAGGUUAGUCUGUUUGGCACCUAGCUCCUAGCCUGCUGGCCCGCAGUUCAUCCCAGAUGAUGUAAAUAAGGAGUGUUCAUUCUACCCAUUUGACUCCUGUUUUCUAGAGUCAGCACUGCCAGGAGAAUUUUCUAUAAUGAUGGAAACAUCCCAGCUCCGCGGUGUCCAAUAUGGUAGCUACUAGCCACGUGUGGCUGUUGGCCAUUUGAGAUGUGGUGAGUGAGUGGGUGGAGACGCCUGUUGCAUCCUUGUUUGUAAUGCAAAAGGAAAACCCCAGAACAUUCUAAAUGCCCAUUAGCCCGGAAAUGAAGUAUGCAUACCGAUGACCACUACGUCUCACUUAAAAAAGAGGAUGUCAAUCUACCUAACGCUGCAAGACAUAUUGUGGGGUGAAAAAAAGAAAGACGUCCCCUGAAAUAGAAACCAAAACAUCAACCAAUGCUGUGUUUUCUAAAGGUACGUGAAUACGUAUAAAGUCAACGCGGGGGCGGGGGGGUGGGGGUGGGGAGGUGGGGGGUGGGGGGGAGGGGGACAGUAAUGCAAACAUAGAGCAUUUGAUUUUUAAAUCAUUCCACAAGUACAUAUUACGUGAUUUGUUAUUUAUAUCCUCCCCCCCACCCCCCACAAUCAGUAAGCUCGAUGAGGACAUGAAAAAAAAAAUGUGGCUAGUGUCACUGGGGAACUGAAUAUUGAAUCCAAUCUAAUCUAAUCUAUAUAGCUAAAUGUGGGUAGUGGUUAUUGUGCUGGACAGUGUAGCUUUAGAGUCGAGAUACAGGCUACGGCAGGUUUGGGGGGCCGAAUCUCGGGGUGUUUCAGGGUAAGUCAAGGAGGCAAGCAAGAAUCUGUGAUGAACAUGAGAACCCAUUCUUCGUUUUCUCUACUUUCAGCCCAAAAGGCUGUGACUGCUCUCCCCUGAUAACACCCCCAGUUCUAUCCCGUUAGGGAGUCCUGGAUUGUGUCUCGUAGUUUUCUUCCACCUGCAGAGAGCAGGUAUCAGGCCCCACGUGGGUUCCCACUUCAUCUUUUUCCUUUCCUCCCAGUGGGGGCCACAUGAUCUUGAACUGUGGGCUAGUCUUUUUCUAAGACUGAUCCCGAACUGAGACAGUGGGGAUUUUCCCAUUACCAGCCCCAUGAUUUGGGUCACGGUCUCAAGUGUUCCCAACCCUUGCUACUUAUCUGAUUAAUCAAAAAGGAUUUGAUUCUUUUUUUUUUUUUUAAAUAUAUUUUUUUUUUAAAUUUUUUUUUUCAACGUUUUUAUUUAUUUUUGGGUCAGAGAGAGACAGAGCAUGAACGGGGGUGGGGCAGAGAGAGAGGGAGACACAGAAUCGGAAACAGGCUCCAGGCUCCGAGCCAUCAGCCCAGAGCCUGACGCGGGGCCCGAACUCACGGACGGCGAGAUCGUGACCUGGCUGAAGUCGGACGCUUAACCGACUGCGCCACCCAGGCGCCCCNUUUUUUUUUCAAUAUAUGAAAUUUAUUGUCAAAUUGGUUUCCAAACAACACCCAGUGCUCAUACCUGUUGGUACCUCAAUACCCAUCACCCACCCCCCAUCAACCCUCAGUUUGUUCUCAGUUUUUAACAGUCACUUAUGCUUUGGCUCUCUCCCACUCUAACCUCUUUUUUUUUUUUUUCCUUCCCCUCCCCCAUGGGUUUCUGUUAAGUUUCUCAGGAUCCACAUAAGAGUGAAAACAUAUGGUAUCUAUCUUUCUCUGUAUGGCUUAUUUCACUUAGCAUCACACUCUCCAGUUCCAUCCACGUUGCUACAAAAGGCCAUAUUUCAUUCUUUCUCAUUGCCACAUAGUAUUCCAUUGUGUAUAUAAACCACAAUUUCUUUAUCCAUUCAUCAGUUGAUGGACAUUUAGGUUCUUUCCAUAAUUUGGCUAUUGUUGAGAGUGCUGCUAUAAACAUUGGGGUACAAGUGCCCCUAUGCAUCAGCACUCCUGUAUCCCUUGGGUAAGUUCCUAGCAGUGCUAUUGCUGGGUCAUAGGGUAGGUCUAUUUUUAAUUUUCUGAGGAACCUCCACAGUGCUUUCCAGAGCGGCUGCACCAAUUCCAGCACACCUUUUUUUCAUGAAAACCUCCAGCCUCAGUGUCUGAGUAUCACCAGACGUGUCAAACACUUUUGAACACUGGAUUCAGGAUCAGAAGAUCUGGGUUCAAGUCCUUGAGUCACAUAUCUGCUGCAUGACGCUGGGCAGGCCAUUUAACCCUCUCUGUUUUAUUUUCUCAUCUCUAAAGUGAGGAUCCAUCCCACCCAAGGCACAGGGGUGUCAUUAGAUUAAAUGAAAUCACAGGUAGGAAGCACCCAGGACAGAAUCUAGCACACGUUCGAUUCCCAGGAAGACUUGGGAUGCCCUCCCACUCUUUGGAAUGAGCACUGGGUGUCAUAUGUAAGAGAUGAAUCACUGGGUUCUACUCCUGAGGCCAAGAUUACACUGUAUGUUAACUAACUUGAAUUAAAAAAAAAAAAAGACAGGAUGCCUUCUUGUUCACUUCUCAUGACAGGUCUGCCAUCAUCAUCGCCCCUUGAGUCUUUGGAGGGGGAGGGGCCCUGUAAGUCAAGCAUAUAUCUCAUUAAGUCAAAAUUGUUCAACUAAUAUUGAUUGAAUACUCGAUUAGUGUUCAAUCUGUUUUCAGGGCUACCCCCUCGGCUCAGUCCCUCCUUGGCCUCCUCCCUCUUUUUCCCACCCCAGACCUCCUACCUUGAGUUUUGCCACUGAUCUUUUCAUCUCUCUGCCAUGUCCGAUUGUCCCACAUCCUGGUGCCCAAUGUCACAAGGGUUCUUUAUGGAAUACAGCAACGUUCCUCAACAUAUUUGAUGAUGACGCACCUUAAAUUUGUCAUUGGAUGUAAUGGCUUGAGUUCAUCAGAGACCGACUUAAGCAGAAAGGACAUUUCUUGUCAGGAUGCUAUGUAGCUCAUAGAACUGAUUGGAAGUCCCGACAAUUGAACUGGGCUUGGAAGGACCAAGGGAGAGUGGGCAGCAGAAAUAAUCUUCCAGGAUCCUACCAGCAGCAUAGCCAUCCUGGCACUGGACAUCUGGAGCCUUGCCUGGACUUCUACAGUGGCUUCAGACCUGCCAGGGCCACGACUAGGGGGAGGAGGGGGAGGUGCCUAAGGUGCAACCCGUCAGGGGCCCUCAGUCUCAGGGUCAUAUGAGUGCCUCCUGGGCACCUCCCUCACCUCCCCCUAGUCCUGGCCUUGCCACCUGGAUCCUGUACUUCUUCUCUGCACCACCCACCCACCACACCUGUACUUAUAUUUGCUCAGAGUGUGUGUUCAUAAUAGACUGUCAUCCCCAUGAAGACCGCGGCUGAUUUAUUUUCUGUAUCUCAGAGCAGAAUCUAGCACAAAUUGAGUAUUCAAGCAAUAUUAGUUGAAGAGUUUUGACUUAAUGAGAUCUCUGUUUGGCUUAAAAUAGUGGGAAUGGUACACGAGCAUUUCCUCUUUAGGGCAUAGCUUCACACUGGAAUAGUAUCAAUGUUGGAUACUCAAUAACCACGGAAUAUUACUAGAGAUACGUAUUGAGAUUGUAAGAUGAGACACUUAGCAGGGGUGGCUACAGUUACAUCACCCAUCGCUGUGAUGGUCAUUGGUGGAUGCUUCCAUUAUGGCCGAGCAAAUUGAAAUAUACACUUGUGUGAGUCAGGCGGUGUCUUCUCUGAAUGUCUGGAGGCGUUGUGGACGUCAUGCUUUGCCUUAAAAGCAAAAUCAUUACAUAUUAAUGAGAUCAGUUAUACAAAUGUACUUAAUAUUUUUGGAACAGACAUUGUGGCAGGGUGACAUAUUAAGAAUUCAAUGUAGCAAUUGCCUGAUAACUUUUUUCCUCCAUUUUACUUGACCAGGCAUCAGCAUAGAGAGUGAAAAGAUCAUUUUUUUUCUGCCUAGUUAUUGGAAGGGGGGCCAGGAUUUUGUGUUCUAAAUCUUGGCCUUCUUUUGCUACUGGGGAACUGAAGAAAGUGUGUGUGUGUGUGAGAGAGAGAGAGAGAGAGAGAGAGAGAGAGAUUCAGGGGCUGCCCUGAAGAUUGCUCUCCACUCCCCCCAUCUUUAUUAGAGAGGCCCAGGCACAAGGAGCGUGGCUAGAUUGGAUGGCCUCAGGAGGAAUGGGAUGAAGAGUUUAGCUUCAAGUUCAGGAGAGGAGUUGCCUGCCAUUUGGAGGUGUUAAAUCUUCACACAACCAGGAGAAAAGAUGGGGGUUCGGCUCCAAGGGUGUUUGAUAAAACACCCUGAGGUGAUAAGUGUUUGGACAGGAUUGCCAGCAUGGAGGUCAUCACUGUGGAGACAGCCACCAUGGCUCUGGUCCUGGGACCAGCAACCUUUGCCUCCAUGUUGGGUAUGACAGCCCCGGUGAGGAACAGUUCUCCAGUGCCCAGAGCCGCUCAAUGAACGGUUAGCGGAAUUCAUCAGCAAUACCUUGAGCAUGAGAAGCAAGAGAAAUGAAGAUCAUCAUCAUCGAGUAAGGAUCAAGUUCCUCCUCAUUUACCAAAAUCAUGGGGUCCUAGUAGGAUCAAGUGGAGGAAGGCAGGACACCCCAACGACAACUGCCAUUGGACACCUCACCAGCUUUGCAAGUGGUAUCAUGGAGCUGAAUUUAAAAUGCAUACACAGAUGGGGCACCUGGGUGGCUCAAUCGGUUAAGUGUCUGGCUUUUGGCUCACAGUUUGUGAGUUCGAGCCCCGCAUCGGGCUCUGUGCUCAGAGCCUGGAGCCUGGAGCCUGCUUCGGAUUCUGUGUCUCCCUCUCUCUCUGCCCCUCCCCUGCUUGUGCGUGUUCUCUCUCUCUCUCUCUCUCUCAAAAAUAACAUUAAAAAAAUAAAAUAACAUACGUAUACAGAAAUAAAGCAUUUCCUGAGGCUUGAGUGUCGUGGAGUAUUCAGAAUUGGUAUGUGACUAUGAACGUAUUAAAGAAUUUUAGAAGAAACACGCUCACUAGCAUCUGUUUCAUGGAACACGGCUUGAAGCAGGACACAGUUGGGGGAUAU